GGUGAAAGGUCUUCUCUGUGAGAGGAAUUUUCUGCAGAGCCGAAGCUCUGAUGAGAAGCAGAGGACGAAAAACUUGUUUCCUACAGAGAUGUCAAGAAGUUCGGUCAAUUUUUUGUGGCUAAUUGACUUAAGAAAGUGGGACUGAAAUGGGGACAGAAGCGCUGGAACUGAUGUAGUUUGUCACGUUGAUUGUUGCCUCUCCGAGGAUGCCAGAUCUAGCUGAUCCCUGUAAUAGACAGCCCCCGGAAUUGUGACUACCACAUAUAUUAUCUUGCAGCGGUUCGUACUAAGCAUCGAUGAAAAGCUCACACAAGCUCUAUUAAGAACUGACUACUUAGAAAGUGUUGAUUAGAACCAACGUUUUCUGGUGUGAUACUUAUAACUAUCAAUCAUCAUGUAUAAAAUCUGCAGUGCUGCGGAUGUUACCAUGGAAA